UGGGGAAUAUUGGACAAUGGGCGCAAGCCUGAUCCAGCCAUGCCGCGUGAGUGAUGAAGGCCCUAGGGUUGUAAAGCUCUUUCACCGGUGAAGAUAAUGACGGUAACCGGAGAAGAAGCCCCGGCUAACUUCGUGCCAGCAGCCGCGGUAAUACGAAGGGGGCUAGCGUUGUUCGGAUUUACUGGGCGUAAAGCGCACGUAGGCGGACUUUUAAGUCAGGGGUGAAAUCCCGGGGCACAACCCCGGAACUGCCUUUGAUACUGGAAGUCUUGAGUAUGGUAGUGGUGAGUGGAAUUCCGAGUGUAGAGGUGAAAUUCGUAGAUAUUCGGAGGAACACCAGUGGCGAAGGCGGCUCACUGGACCAUUACUGACGCUGAGGUGCGAAAGCGUGGGGAGCAAACAGG
rnacentral:rRNA from 1 species